GCGAAGCGCAACAGCGCGGGGCACGGUUCUCGGCUCAGCGGCGUCGGAGAGCGCGCUCCCGACGCAGCUACAGGCAAGCAGUCAGGCAGGACUGCACAGCACAGCGCACUGAAGCGCGCACACGCAGCAGGGGCUGCAAGCAGGCACGCGCAAGCCAGCGCGGAGUACCCAACUGAAGCCGCCAAGGAGCUGCUGUAGGCGUUUUGCAAGGGGGAAGAAAAAAGCCGGGCGGACACAGAGGCCAACUGGCAGACACCGCCAUGCCAGUACGCCACAUGGGAUGCCACCGGAGGGGAGGUGAACUCUGUUGUCCUCGCCCUACAGACCCUUUUGCAAGUUUUUCAGGUGCUGCGGGAAGCGAAGGAGGGGCUGGAGAAGAAGCUCGGUAUCCCGAGCGGGGCCCUGUCUGAAUGGCUUUGUGACGGCGGGUGGCCAGCCUCCCAAUGGCAGGACAAAGCGGUGCAGAACACUGUGAGCGGCGUUUCAGAAAAGAGGAGAACAGUCGUGAGAGUCCUCGGCCAGCUGAAGACCUGCUACGAGGCUUGAG